AACGAACGCUGGCGGCAGGCUUAACACAUGCAAGUCGAACGCAUCCUUCGGGGUGAGUGGCAGACGGGUGAGUAACGCGUGGGAACGUGCCCUUCAGUUCGGGAUAACCCAGGGAAACUUGGGCUAAUACCGGAUACGUGCGAGAGCAGAAAGAUCUAUCGCUGAAGGAUCGGCCCGCGUCUGAUUAGCUAGUUGGUGGGGUAAUGGCCCACCAAGGCGACGAUCAGUAGCUGGUCUGAGAGGAUGAUCAGCCACAUUGGGACUGAGACACGGCCCAAACUCCUACGGGAGGCAGCAGUGGGGAAUAUUGGACAAUGGGCGCAAGCCUGAUCCAGCCAUGCCGCGUGAGUGAUGAAGGCCUUAGGGUUGUAAAGCUCUUUCGUCCGGGACGAUAAUGACGGUACCGGAAGAAGAAGCUCCGGCUAACUUCGUGCCAGCAGCCGCGGUAA
rnacentral:rRNA from 1 species